CGCAGCCGACCCGGAGCCAACCUCAAGUGGACCACAAGAGUCCCCAAGGCCCAGCUCCAACCCGCUUCGCCUUGGCCUGCUAGGCAAGCCGGCCUUCUCCGUCGAGCGGGCUAAGCCCACUAAGGUGUGCCCAGGGAGCAACAUAGAUGUCCAACGCCUGCAGCUUUUGGCACAUGCUUAUUUGUUCUUAGUGUUUGCAAUUUUAGCCAAUUUCCAGGACAUAUUUGACUUCAGAAAAUGCAUCAUUUUGAAUUGCUAAUAACUUAAUAAC
rnacentral:lncRNA from 1 species